UACGGGGGGGGUAAGCGUUGUUCGGAAUUACUGGGCGUAAAGCGUGCGCAGGCGGUUUUGUAAGUCUGUCGUGAAAUCCCCGGGCUCAACCUGGGAAUUGCGAUGGAGACUGCAAGGCUAGAAUCUGGCAGAGGGGGAUGGAAUUCCGCGUGUAGCAGUGAAAUGCGUAGAUAUGCGGAGGAACACCGAUGGCGAAGGCAAUCCCCUGGGCCUGCACUGACGCUCAUGCACGAAAGCGUGGGGAGCAAACAGG
rnacentral:rRNA from 1 species